CUGUCCUGGCCUAUGCUUUUCUGUUGCCCUGGGCUCAGAUGUCCAGAGUAGUCUGGAAGAACACAGCAGUCUCCUUCCUGGUUUAGGAGGGUCCUCCGAAGAAUAGGGCUGUAGGAGUUUGAGACCAGU
rnacentral:snoRNA from 1 species